UAUCCUGUCUGAAUAUGGGGGGACCAUCCUCCAAGGCUAAAUACUCCUGACUGACCGAUAGUGAACCAGUACCGUGAGGGAAAGGCGAAAAGAACCCCGGCGAGGGGAGUGAAAAAGAACCUGAAACCGUGUACGUACAAGCAGUGGGAGCACCCUUUGGGGUGUGACUGCGUACCUUUUGUAUAAUGGGUCAGCGACUUAUAUUCUGUAGCAAGGUUAACCGAAUAGGGGAGCCGGAGGGAAACCGAGUCUUAAUUGGGCGUUAAGUUGCAGGGUAUAGACCCGAAACCCGGUGAUCUAGCCAUGGGCAGGUUGAAGGUUGGGUAACACUAACUGGAGGACCGAACCGACUAAUGUUGAAAAAUUAGCGGAUGACCUGUGGCUGGGGGUGAAAGGCCAAUCAAACCGGGAGAUAGCUGGUUCUCCCCGAAAGCUAUUUAGGUAGCGCCUCGUGAAUUCAUCUCCGGGGGUAGAGCACUGUUUCGGCUAGGGGGCCAUCCCGGCUUACCAACCCGAUGCAAACUGCGAAUACCGGAGAAUGUUAUCACGGGAGACACACGGCGGGUGCUAACGUCCGUCGUGAAGAGGGAAACAACCCAGACCGCCAGCUAAGGUCCCAAAGUCAUGGUUAAGUGGGAAACGAUGUGGGAAGGCCCAGACAGCCAGGAUGUUGGCUUAGAAGCAGCCAUCAUUUAAAGAAAGCGUAAUAGCUCACUGGUCGAGUCGGCCUGCGCGGAAGAUGUAACGGGGCUAAACCAUGCACCGAAGCUGCGGCAGCGACGCUGAUGCGUUGUUGGGUAGGGGAGCGUUCUGUAAGCCUGUGAAGGUGGCCUGUGAGGGUUGCUGGAGGUAUCAGAAGUGCGAAUGCUGACAUAAGUAACGAUAAAGCGGGUGAAAAGCCCGCUCGCCGGAAGACCAAGGGUUCCUGUCCAACGUUAAUCGGGGCAGGGUGAGUCGACCCCUAAGGCGAGGCCGAAAGGCGUAGUCGAUGGGAAACGGGUUAAUAUUCCCGUACUUGGUGUUACUGCGAAGGGGGGACGGAGAAGGCUAUGUUGGCCGGGCGACGGUUGUCCCGGUUUAAGCGUGUAGGUGUGUGUUCCAGGUAAAUCCGGUUCACUUUAACACUGAGGCGUGAUGACGAGGCACUACGGUGCUGAAGCAACAAAUGCCCUGCUUCCAGGAAAAGCCUCUAAGCAUCAGGUAACAUCAAAUCGUACCCCAAACCGACACAGGUGGUCAGGUAGAGAAUACCAAGGCGCUUGAGAGAACUCGGGUGAAGGAACUAGGCAAAAUGGUGCCGUAACUUCGGGAGAAGGCACGCUGACACGUAGGUGAAGUGAUUUACUCAUGGAGCUGAAGUCAGUCGAAGAUACCAGCUGGCUGCAACUGUUUAUUAAAAACACAGCACUGUGCAAACACGAAAGUGGACGUAUACGGUGUGACGCCUGCCCGGUGCCGGAAGGUUAAUUGAUGGGGUCAGCGCAAGCGAAGCUCCUGAUCGAAGCCCCGGUAAACGGCGGCCGUAACUAUAACGGUCCUAAGGUAGCGAAAUUCCUUGUCGGGUAAGUUCCGACCUGCACGAAUGGCGUAAUGAUGGCCAGGCUGUCUCCACCCGAGACUCAGUGAAAUUGAACUCGCUGUGAAGAUGCAGUGUACCCGCGGCAAGACGGAAAGACCCCGUGAACCUUUACUAUAGCUUGACACUGAACAUUGAGCCUUGAUGUGUAGGAUAGGUGGGAGGCUUUGAAGUGUGGACGCCAGUCUGCAUGGAGCCGGCCUUGAAAUACCACCCUUUAAUGUUUGAUGUUCUAACGUGGACCCGUGAUCCGGGUUGCGGACAGUGUCUGGUGGGUAGUUUGACUGGGGCGGUCUCCUCCUAAAGAGUAACGGAGGAGCACGAAGGUUGGCUAAUCCUGGUCGGACAUCAGGAGGUUAGUGCAAUGGCAUAAGCCAGCUUGACUGCGAGCGUGACGGCGCGAGCAGGUGCGAAAGCAGGUCAUAGUGAUCCGGUGGUUCUGAAUGGAAGGGCCAUCGCUCAACGGAUAAAAGGUACUCCGGGGAUAACAGGCUGAUACCGCCCAAGAGUUCAUAUCGACGGCGGUGUUUGGCACCUCGAUGUCGGCUCAUCACAUCCUGGGGCUGAAGUAGGUCCCAAGGGUAUGGCUGUUCGCCAUUUAAAGUGGUACGCGAGCUGGGUUUAGAACGUCGUGAGACAGUUCGGUCCCUAUCUGCCGUGGGCGCUGGAGAACUGAGGGGGGCUGCUCCUAGUACGAGAGGACCGGAGUGGACGCAUCACUGGUGUUCGGGUUGUCAUGCCAAUGGCACUGCCCGGUAGCUAAAUGCGGAAGAGAUAAGUGCUGAAAGCAUCUAAGCACGAAACUUGCCCCGA
rnacentral:rRNA from 1 species